AGACAGCCCAGUCUCCCAAUUGAGACCUGACCUGGGGCUCAUUUUGGGGCUUGAACCCCGACGUUUAGUAGCCUAGGGGCGUGGCCAUGCUGGAUCUGGGGCUGACCUCCGAGCAGCGCUUAGACCCUCGGGAGCCUUAGGAGAGCGGGAAAGUUGCUAAUAGGUACUUGUCCUCAGCUCCACACCCCCGGAGGGCCUCAACUCACCUCGGCGCAGUGCCGUUGUCCCCUGUGCGUCCUCCGUGUGUGCCACCGGUCGCUGGGCACGUGGAGCCACCUGGCUGUAGAUCGGGGUGUCCGUGCUGGUGGGCGCCCGCGGCCCCGGCCCUGUGCCCGCCGAAGCGCCACGCUUCUGCACCACAGCGUCUUGUGCUAGGUUGCCCAGGCUAGCCUCUGACUUCAGCUUCCUAAGUGCUGGGAUGUCAGGACUGCCUAACUGUACAGACACCACAACCCCUUCUGAGCUGACCUGAAGGAGAUCAGUACCUCUUAAAUUGCAGGAUCCCUAGAUUAAAACUUUAAAUAAAA
rnacentral:lncRNA from 1 species